rnacentral:rRNA from 1 species
UAGGGAAUCUUCGGCAAUAGACGAAAGUCUGACCGAGCAACGCCGCGUGAGUGAAGAAGGUUUUCGGAUCGUAAAACUCUGUUGUUAGAGAAGAACAAGGACGUUAGUAACUGAACGUCCCCUGACGGUAUCUAACCAGAAAGCCACGGCUAACUACGUGCCAGCAGCCGCGGUAAUACGUAGGUGGCAAGCGUUGUCCGGAUUUAUUGGGCGUAAAGCGAGCGCAGGCGGUUUCUUAAGUCUGAUGUGAAAGCCCCCGGCUCAACCGGGGAGGGUCAUUGGAAACUGGGAGACUUGAGUGCAGAAGAGGAGAGUGGAAUUCCAUGUGUAGCGGUGAAAUGCGUAGAUAUAUGGAGGAACACCAGUGGCGAAGGCGGCUCUCUGGUCUGUAACUGACGCUGAGGCUCGAAAGCGUGGGGAGCAAACAGG